AUGAACGCUGGCGGCGUGCCUAAUACAUGCAAGUCGAGCGAACAGACGAGGAGCUUGCUCCUCUGACGUUAGUGGCGGACGGGUGAGUAACACGUGGAUAACCUACCUAUAAGACUGGGAUAACUUCGGGAAACCGGAGUUAAUACCGGAUAAUAUAUUGAACCGCAUGGUUCAAUAGUGAAAGACGGUUUUGCUGUCACUUAUAGAUGGAUCCGCGCCGCAUUAGCUAGUUGGUAAGGUAACGGCUUACCAAGGCAACGAUGCGUAGCCGACCUGAGAGGGUGAUCGGCCACACUGGAACUGAGACACGGUCCAGACUCCUACGGGAGGCAGCAGUAGGGAAUCUUCCGCAAUGGGCGAAAGCUUGACGGAGCAACGCCGCGUGAGUGAUGAAGGUCUUCGGAUCGUAAAACUCUGUUAUUAGGGAAGAACAAAUGUGUAAGUAACUAUGCACGUCUUGACGGUACCUAAUCAGAAAGCCACGGCUAACUACGUG
rnacentral:rRNA from 1 species